rnacentral:misc_RNA from 1 species
AGAGAAUGUCAAUGGAACUUUGGAGGACAAAUUAAGCUUGAUAUAAAUAAAAUAUUGUAGCAAAUUACCAAUACACAUAACAUACUCUCUUUACUAAGAUCCACUAUGGCUUAUUUUAUAUCACAACAAAUGCAGAAAAUGAAAAAAAUCUAGAAAACGAAAAAAAGGGAAAUUCUAACAGCAAGAUGAUUCGCUUCAUAACUGUUUCCAUGGUUAUCACUCUCUUUCUCACUCUAAGUUACAACAUGAAGGAUUAAUAGUGACAUAUAUUAAAGCUGGAUAAAAAUUAUUUGAUUUACAAAACAGAUCCUGAAAACCAGAAAUGACAACUAAAUAACUUGUCAAUGAAAGAACAUCAAUGAACUUCCAGUUGCAUGUUUCGCCAUUUCUUUGCUGAUAAACAAAAAAGAAAGUUUUCUAUUCACUCAUAAUAAAACUGUUCCAAGCAGUUAAUAAGCAUAAAGGGUACUAAUAUGAAAGUCAGAAUAAAAGAUAAAGAAGUCACUUGAGAUACCCCGGGGAUUUUGCCUUCUGUUUUUUCAAUUUUGAGUUUCAAAAUCAGAUAUAAAAAGUAACAUCCAUAAAGUCAGACAACAGUCAAAGCACAAAUUACCUCCCUGGGUAUCUCCCAGUCAAU